CACACACACACACACACACACACACACACACACACACACACACACACACACACAACUUCAGGGCACCUACAAUAACACGUGGUGUACCUGUGAGUCGCUGCUGGCGAGCUAUCUUCCUCUCCAGGGCUUGCUGUCUGUUCAGCUCCAUACGUUGGCGCUCCUCAUCAGUCAAAGAGGGGGCGGGUGGACCAGCAGGUGCCGGGGUGGAGUGGAUUGGUCCUGGCUCGUUGCUAGGGAAGCUCUGACUGAUGAACGGGUCUGGUUCUUCGAAGAUGUGAGACUCAGGAGGAACUUCCUCUUCACCUGCACACACCCAGCAAAACACGUGCAUGUCUUUGGUGGGAGGAAGCUGGCGUACUUGGACGGAACCCACGCAGUCACGGCGAGGACAUGCUAACUUCGCACAGAAAGGUCCCGAGCCCGGGUUUGAACUCAGAACCUUCGUUUUGUGAGGCCGAGACACUAACCCUUCUUAAACCGUGCUGCCCAUGGUAACAUGGUUACUUACCAGUAAAAUCAUUGUGUGUCAGUGGCAGAUCAAGGCGUAUCCGUUUGAGACAAGUCUGCCAGAGGAAAAAGGCAUCGAUAAAUCAAAUAUAAAUCAACAACUCCAAACACAGCCUGGUAUAAAAAAAAAGGAGUCCUUUUGUCCCACCUGCACCUCCUUUUUGGCGCCCAGCUUCUCCACUCUGUGAAUAAAAUCUUCAAACUGAA